rnacentral:rRNA from 1 species
GGGACGAACGCUGGCGGCGUGCUUAACACAUGCAAGUCGAGCGGUAAGGCCUUUCGGGGUACACGAGCGGCGAACGGGUGAGUAACACGUGGGUGAUCUGCCCUGCACUUCGGGAUAAGCCUGGGAAACUGGGUCUAAUACCGGAUAUGACUUCAGGUUGCAUGACUUGGGGGUGGAAAGAUUUUAUCGGUGCAGGAUGGGCCCGCGGCCUAUCAGCUUGUUGGUGGGGUAAUGGCCUACCAAGGCGACGACGGGUAGCCGACCUGAGAGGGUGACCGGCCACACUGGGACUGAGACACCGGCCCAGACUCCUACGGGAGGCAGCAGGUAGGGGAAUAGUUGCACAAGUGGGACAAAGCCUGAUGCAGCGACGCCGGCGUAGGACGGGAUCGGACGGUCCGUUCGGGUUACGUUAACCUCUUUCGACGCG